AUGUCAGUCUUGCAUUUAUGUCAUUCUUCCAUUCUUAGUAUUUAUGUCAUUAUUACUCUUACCCAGUAGUAAUUUUGUUAAAAAGCUUGUUAUAAACCACUAAAUGCUGAAUUUAUUAGAUUGGGAGAGCAUCAUUUAGGAAUGUUUGCUUUAUAAGUCAGGAACAAAUCUCUCUUUUGAAUGUGAAGACCAAGAUAAGAAUUUUAGUAUCUAAGUUAAGGUGUUUUAUUCUGCAAAAAAUAGAGAUGAGGUCUUCUUUCCUUAAAAAUGAUAGAGCAAUGAUUUUUAUUAAAGUCUUGGAGUCCUAUUCAGAAAAUUGACAAAUUCUGUAGUAGAACUCUGUGCCUUUGAAAUGUGGGAGACAUCUCACCACAACUUCUCCAUGUAUAAUUUAUCCUGAAUAAUGUAUGAGUUGUGUAAUAGCCCUGCAGCACAUUCUCAUCUUCACAGAUUACUGACUUCUCUAGUAUUGCAUCUUCUGCUUUCCAUUCCUGUGCUGUGUGUUUACUAUAUGAAGUCUUUGAUGGCGAGCAGAAAAGGUGGGAGAAGAAUAUUUGAGAACUGAAAAUCCUUGGCAAUCCAGGAAAUAGUUUAAUAUACUAGACUUCUCAUUGUAGCUUGGUAAUGAAAAUGUGAUUUUUGCAUAGAACUUGCCUCUAGAGUUUUGGAAACUGGGAUUUCUUUACAACUCGGGAAAUAAGUGAGUAGCCGAAGAGUAUCAGCUUAACUUCAGGAAUGUUAAAGGGGGUACUGGCAUAGGGCACUGGGAGGGUUGAGAGGGAAGAGAAAUUUAAGUUAUUUAACUGGAAAGUAAUUUAAAAUAUUUUUACAUCAAAAGAUACAGCUAUGUCAUGGGAUAGAAUUUUAAAAAUUCACAUGAAUCUUAGUGGUAAGGCACAGGGCUUUGUAGACAUUUCUCCUUUUUGGGUGGCUGCUUUGGGAUAUGCCACAGACCCACAGGCUGGCAUUCACUCCGCUAAGGACCAUGAGACAACAGCAGCCUCUGCCACCCCAGUCCCUCAUCAGCACUGUUUUCUGAAGCCCCUUCAACAGCAAGUGCCCACCGGAUCCUCCCAACGAGCUGUUAGCCCAUUUUGCAGAUGAGAAAAACUUGGGUACAGAAAGAUUAGGUGGCUUAUUGAGAAGUGUCUGUUCAUGUCCUUCGCCCACUUUUUGAUGGAAUCCUGAGCUCCUACCCAAAAUCUUUUUAAUUCCACAAUUUGGAGAUCAUCUCUCUUCCUCACCAAGAACCAAAUGCAGGUUUGAUCUUUAACUAUAUGAUGAAACUUUUUUUAACCUGUAUUAUAGAUCCGUCUAUUAAUACUUAUUGUUAGUGAUUACGGUAAGCUUUUUAGUGGAAGGACCUGUGUUUAUUUUUGUUUUGCAAAGCAUUUAACCCAGUGCUUUGGAGUAUAAAUAUUUGUUGAGUGAGUGAAUGAAUGAAAUGCCUGACUACAACCCUAGCCACCAAAUCUUUGAGUUCAUCUACUAAUGCUUGUUCCCUGGGCUAUACAAGACAGAGGUAAAGGCUGGUGGUCCUGUUUACAAUAUAGGCAUUUACUUUUGGUUCUUGCCUUCAUCGUGGCUGUGAGGCUUUAGAGUCUCACAGUAAGCUCAGGGGGGUCGCUGGGUACCAUGUCAGUGGGCUUCAUGAACAAACCCUGGCUGCCGUUAUGUCAGCAGCUGCCAUCUGUUCCUCUCAAGCUCUGCCUUCCUUUGGUGACUUCUGUGUUGCUGAUUAAAGCCACUUGGGGGACCUCACUAAUGCUCACCCCUCCUAUGGGUCUCCUCUACUGAUCUCAUCAUGGGGCUGACUCCACAGGUAAGCAGUACUUGGUACUUGUUCCUAGGAAGUCAGGGAAGAGGGGAAAGAGGCGCCGGAUUGCCGCUUUUCACCUCAUCAACUAUGGGAUCCUGCCUUUUGGCUGCUUUCAUUGAUCCUUUUAUUCUCUAUGGAUUUUUGUUAUGAGAUCUUUGUGUUCACAAUGAGGAGUCCUAAAAAUAAAAAAGAUGUCGAUGUCAUCCAUUUAAGUAAUCUGUACAGCAUUUUAGAAGCAACCAAAAUAUUCUGUGACAAGCGUUUUCAUUAAAAUACAUCCAAUGUGAGAGGCUUACUAUAAACUAUGCAAAGUAUUGUGGUCUUCUAACGGGUGCAAACAUGGCAUCCUCAUAAUCACUCUCUUUUGCAGUUUGAGCCUAUUGUUUUUUGUCCUUCCUGCACUGAAUAGGAGCCACCUUUGUCACCUCUGGAAACUUUGGCUUUAGGGCAGCCCCAAGACUGAUUGAGGUGAAUAUGGUUGUCCCUCCAGUAUCUGGAUUGAGCAAGUGAAAUAUCUCUCUGGGGGCGGAGGAGUGCCUGCCUGCAGGGACAGGGUAGGACGGGGGACAGGGGAAGGGUAUCCACGUCUGCAGCCAGGCCAGCACAACAAGGCCUUGUUUCUCCUCCACUGCAAAAAGACUGGAUGCUUCACUGUUUUGUACUUCAUUUCCUUUGAGCUGCUGCCCUCUCUCCUCCUCUGCCAAGUGCAUGAGUUUGGCAGGGAGGUUGGCAAGCAUUUCACAAGACGGUAAAGGUUAAGGUACAGUGGAGGUUGUUUAGUGCAGAAUUGUAAAUAUUUGUUAAAAGGUUUGUGGAGCUGCUUCUUUUGAUACCUCUAAUCCACCGAGACAGAAAUAACUUCAAAGCCAUGCCUAGUCUGACUUGGUCCUCAACCAAAGGAAAAAAUCAGCUACUGCUAAAAUAUGUUUUCACUCACAGCCAGGCAGCCUGCCUUAGCAGGCGUCCUGAAGGAUGAAUCAUAGUUUAAUUGUCUUUGGGCACUUGCACAUCUGCUUAGGAUCGUCAACAGGGCAGGAGCUGAGCUGCAUGAAUAAAUGUGAAGAAGCCUUUAGUUUACACGGUUCCAUGCUGUCAACAGCAGAACGAGAAGUCCGUUCAGAAGGAUGGGCUGAGCCAGCUCGCCUGCCCACACAGAAGGAAGGCUUCCCAGUGUGCUACUUGGAAUGUAGGGAGAACAGCAUUUCUCUACAAUUUGGGGCUUCUCCAGGGAUUUCAGAGUAAGGAUUUCCAAAUCAUCUCAUGAGACCUGAGUAUCUGAGUUCUUAGGUGGAAAACAGGAGAGGGAAUUGGAAGUUAUUGCACAAUUGCAGGUGGGUUUUAAGAAUUUUGGUAGUUUUAAAAAUUACUACAAACUUCUGUGGACAAUUACUGUUGAAUCCAAUUCCUUUAUUUUCUUCCAUUUCCAAAGUAUACUCUUAUUUUUAUCUCAUAGGAUUUCAUUUGUUCCCCAAAGCAAUAAAGAACAGACAAGAGUGAGUAGUAUUCUGGGUGUCAUCUAUAGGGAGAAAAUUGGUUACAUAAACUUGAUUUAACAGUUGAAGAGGCUUUAGAACUUUGCAAGGCCUCUGGACUGAGGUUGGCUUAUUUCUCAGUCAAUGCUUCGUGGCUUUGAGGUUGAGAUUUGAGGCCUGACCACAGUCUUCCUACUACUCUUAACUAGAAGUUUGUAGUAUGCAUUUUCAUGCAAGCAAGAGCUGACUCUACUGCAUAAAGUGAAAAUUGUUGGUUACAUCCAAACCCUUGGAUCAUUUUUCUGAUAGAUAAUGGGCCUUACCUGCUCACUGCAAGAAUUCCUACAGCAGUGGGUCACGGCUUGCCACAUUUUAGAAUCAGAGAGCAGUAAAGAGGCAGGAAUGCCUUUGCCUGCCACCAGAACUUCCAAUUCUAUUGGUCUGGGAUGGCUCACAGGCAGGAAAUAAUGUUUAAUGCUCCCACGUGAUUCUAUUGUAAAGCUAGGGUUGAGGAUCUGUGUUCUGUGUUAGGUGACUGCCCAGAGCAGAGAGAUAAAACAACGCCCCAUCCUCUCCAUAUUUUCUGAUUUGUUUCCUAUUUUGGCAAAGAGUGAAGAUGGCAGAGGAGAGAAAAUAUUGUCAUGAUCUGUGGCCUGAGAGUUCAUUUUUUUCCCCAAACAAUAAUUUUGGGGAAAAAAAUUUCCCCCAAAAAUAAUUUUGUGUGCCUGUUCCUAGCCCUAUGAAGAUAACAAAAAAAUACAAAAAUUAAUAAGGAAGCAGUGUUUGCUGAGUGAAAUAAGUCGGGGCAUUUAGAGACCUGGGUUAAGAAUCUUGACUCUUAAACUCUCAAACUUUGUGAUAUAGGGCCAGGAAUUUGACUUUUCUUCAACCUUGGUUUAUUCCUCUUAUAAAAAGUGAAUAAUGAUGUAUAUCUCGUAGUGUUAUUAUGAGAGUUAAAAUGAUGAUAAAUAUAACAUCUAGCACCUAUGCACUCAAUAACAACUAUUCUAAUAUGGUUGAGUUGGCAACAAAAACUGUUACUGAGAAUCCAUGAAAUUUUAUUAAGAAGUGAAUUUUAUGGUUCAGUAAUAAUUUCCAAAAUAAUUCAUUCAGUAAUUUAUUUACAAAAUCUUUAUUGAGUCAGUAUUAUGUACUAGCAAAUGUGCUGGGGAUAUGGGACCAGGCACAGUCUCUAGACUGAUGGGGCUUACAGUCUAGUGGGUAAGUUAGAAUAGAGAAGAAGGAAAGGGAAAUAAUGGUGUCAAGACUUUUACCUGAAAAGGUUGAAUUCUUUUCUAUUUGACUAAGAAACGCAUCUACUGAGAACACCUAUUUUGUAGGCAAGCUGAACGGUUAGAUACCCAAGUUAUGUUAUUACUGUGUAACUAACCAUCCCAAAACUUAGUGGCUUAUAACAAACAUUUUGCAUUAUCUCUCAUGGUUCUAGGGGUUGAUGGGGACUCACUCAGCUGGGCUGUCCUCAGGAUUUCUCACACACUUGCAGGCAAGUGGUGGCUGGGGCUAGAGUCAUUGGAAGUCUCUGCUGGGUUCACUGACAUGGCUUGCAUGUGCUGCUUGCUGCUGGCUGGGAGCAUGGGUGGGGCUGUCAACCAAGAUGCCCGCAUGAAUCUUGGGCUUCUCACAACACAAUGAGUGUUCCAAGAAUGGGCGCAUUCAGAGAGACCUAGGUGGAAGCAUCAUGGAUUAUUAUGACCUUCAGCUUUGGAAACCACAGCAUCUCACUUCUAUCACUUAACACAUUAACAGAUGGCCCCAGAUUGAAGGGGUAAGGGAUACCCAGGGCAUGGAUUCAAAGAGGGGUAGUUCACUGGGGAGGGAGCGGUAGGUAUCCUUGGAUCUGUGGAGAUGAGCUACCACAGAAAUCCUGCAGAUAGCUGGAAUAGUGGCUGUGGAGUAGGGAUGAGUGAUUGUGAGACAGGAUUCAGAUUUGGAAGACAUCAGGGUAGAGGUUACAGUUAGAGCAAAUGGAAGACCAGUUUUAGAGGAGUGGAGACUCUUAAAGUUAUUCAAUGGAAGAAAAAACUGAACCAAAAAUAGGUCUCGUAGGGGAAGAAUGAAGAAAGUCUAAACUCAGGGGUGUUAAUGUAGGGAAGUGUUUCAUCAAGAAGCAUGCUAUCAAAUUUAAAUAUCUCAGAGUCUGAGAAGAAAGAGAUCUAGAAAUGUAUGUGAUUUAACAAAAAGGAGAUCAAUGAGUCAGAGCAUAGUAUAAUAUGUGCUAGGAGUUUGAGUUUAUAGUAUAAGAUUAUGAGUUAGAUUGUUCCAGAAGGACUUCAUGAAUGGAAGGAGGCCUUAGCUGGCAUUUGAAGGGUGUAUCUGGGAAUACAUCCCGGAAAAUACAUUGUGGUUGUGUGUUUGGGCUGGUUGCAUAGGGAGCCAACCGUUCACCAAACCCGUCCUCAUCUUGCUGGAUAUCCCACUGGACUACAUUAGAUGUUAUAUGACUCUGAGCUCUGAUAUGUGCCUAUAACAACCGUCCACGUGUGAUUCUCCAUGUUCUCUCUCCUUUUGAAGUGACCCUAGAAGUCAUAUGUUAAGGAUGGCAGAGCUGAAAGAUGGAAGAAUCCUGAAUCCCUGAACCACCCAUUGUAGGAGAGCCACCUGCCAAGUAGGAACACCUGUUUUGGGUUUUAAGUAAGCAAUAAAUAAACUUUUGUAUUAAGCCACUGACAGUUUGGUUAAUCUGUUCCAAUGACUAGCAAUAGCUAGAAGUGACAGACUCCUUUAAAGGGCAAGAAACAGACUGAUGAGGCUAGGGAGGAGGGCUGGGAAUGGGAAUAAUUGGAGAAAAAAUGGAAAAAGUUGGUGGUGGCCAGAUUAUGGAGGACUUCUUACAACAUUACCUCUUACAUUUGUAUUUUCAAAUUUGAAACCAACUCCCUGCCCAUCACAUUCCCAAAGGCCUCACCCUGGCAGGUGACCAGCCGUCUCUCCAUGGUCUCUUCCAGAUUCCUCGAGGUCUGAACAAGAACCACUGACGCAGAACGUGAAAACUAGAAGCGUUCAUUAGCGACCACCCUUUGUUUGACUGAUGAGGAAAUCAAGGCUGAUGGUGAGUGGCUGGCCCCAAUGUACUGCUCUCUUGUUGUGUUUGACUUAGAUCUUUGGUCUCCUGCCCGGGAUUGGUGUUCUUUCUGCUGUCACAAAGUGCUCCCUCCAGUGAGUGUAUUCGAUCCAUGUGAACAUCUCCCUUCAGGCCGCUGGUGGUCUCAGCGCCUGCUUUUCCCCUGUCCUCUUAGGCAUGCUCUGAUGUGAACUAUUUUGGAGCUGCCUUUGGGCUGAGUUUGGCCCUUUCUGGUAAUUAUUUUGACCUUGGAUCUUUCUGGAGGAGUAUGGAUUCCUAUAUUUCCCAUGCCUCACUUCCACCUACCAAGUUGAUUCUGUUCUUCUUUUGCUGCAGGCCAGGAAAUUAUCUCUUGACAAUCUUUCUUCUUUGCAUUACAACCUAUGUAAAGCAUCCCUACUUCUAGAAAACCUUUCUACUUUCUGAAUGCCAAAUCUUGUUUCCCUUUCUUUUGAGAUAUUUUUCAAUGCUAUUUUUCAAUACAGACAAAAUAUGGACUGGAUUCCCAAGACCCCAACUACACCCAACAGUAGAAGGAGAGAAAAGGACAAUAGGACAUGAGAUGCUAAAUUCAGUACUGACCUGGAUCCCAAG
rnacentral:lncRNA from 1 species